CUUCGGAUUCUAGUGGCGGACGGGUGAGUAACGCGUAAGAAUCUAACUUCAGGACGGGGACAACAGUUGGAAACGACUGCUAAUACCCGAUGUGCCGCAAGGUGAAAUCUAAUUGGCCUGGAGAAGAGCUUGCGUCUGAUUAGCUAGUUGGUGGGGUAAGAGCCUACCAAGGCGACGAUCAGUAGCUGGUCUGAGAGGAUGAGCAGCCACACUGGGACUGAGACACGGCCCAGACUCCUACGGGAGGCAGCAGUGGGGAAUUUUCCGCAAUGGGCGAAAGCCUGACGGAGCAACGCCGCGUGAGGGAGGAAGGUCUUUGGAUUGUAAACCUCUUUUCUCAAGGAAGAAGUUCUGACGGUACUUGAGGAAUCAGCCUCGGCUAACUCCGUGCCAGCAGCCGCGGUAAUACGGGGGAGGCAAGCGUUAUCCGGAAUUAUUGGGCGUAAAGCGUCCGCAGGUGGUCAGCCAAGUCUGCCGUCAAAUCAGGUUGCUUAACGACC
rnacentral:rRNA from 1 species